UUAGCAAGUGGAUGCUCUCAAACAGUUCUGUCAUUUGGCUUGGGGCCUCCUUUGCAUUUCAAUUUAAAGCAAAAAGCCUCUUUGCCAUUAUAGCUUUGUGCUAUAUAUGGCAGCCUCCUGCUUUGAACUGUGUCAGCACAACUGUCCUAACAUUUCACCCAGGUUUCAUUGUUUCAGGCAAAGAUGGCUUGUUUGUAAUCGCAGUGAAAGCGAUGCUGGAUUUAUUUAUAAGACUUGCCUUUCUGUCAAAGGAGACAAACGUUGGACUAACCGUUAUGAGAAUUUUGUGUUGAAUUAAAUGCAACAGCCCAGAAAUGGCUGUGCCUUUUGAUUCAUUUCCAGGUGCCGCAGAAAAUGUAUGUUUAGACAACUAUUUCAUGUAAUGCUAGCAUGAUAAGUUGUGACCUUUUGAGGUGAGGCCUCAAGGUUCAGCAGUAGAGGCUGGCAAGAGUGCAGGACCAUGUCCUCUGAAUUUAAUUCUCUUCAUUGGUCCUACAGAGCCUGAGGUGGUUGAACUUCAAUUCAUACUUCUAGGAGCCCAUUGUCAUUAUAGUUUGUGAAAUACUGCAAUUUCGAAGUGAUGAUCUGUUACAGAAAAGCAUAUAAAUAAACACCUGUUCUCAGAUACGUCAUCCAGUUGAGUGGAAAUGGGCAAGAACAUUUCUGUAUGGAAAAGAGCGGGGAGGGAGGGGUGUUUUGUUGUCUGUGUUUAUAACAUAUAGGUAACACUGAUGAUAUUGUCCCUAGAACAAGGGUUCUCAACCUGUGAGUAGCUCCCUCCCCCACCAAAGCCUAUACCUGCAGCCCUAAGGGGGGUUAAUAAUUGUUCUCUUGUGAAAUUGGUGUGCAUAUUCAUUUCUUUUAAAGGGGAUACAAUCUCAACUGAGAAGAGUCAUAGCCUAAAAGUGACUUCUCUCACAUCUAGGAGAAGAGUUAAGGUUUGUUGCAAGUCACAGGAUGAAGAUAAUCUCAGAUGGCAAAGGUGCAAUAGGCCUAACAAAGAGUCUUUGUGUUUGGGGUGAAGUAUUGUGAGCAAACAUGAGGAUCAGUUAGUGUUACUGUUUCAUAAGUGGGUACUAUCAUAUGAUUUAAAGUGUCUUUAAAGACUGUGAGUAGCUUCUUGAAGGGAUUCCACAUCAUGACAGGACUGAUAAGCAGGAAAAGAGGAGAAGGAAAUGCCAUCAAAGAUUCAGUAUUUUGAUGGUAAUACCACAAAGUGUAAUAUUGGGAAAUAGUUAGGUAUCUUCUAGACCUUGUCUCCUGAAAGCAGGCAGGAACAAGACAUCUAGCUUGCUUCACUCAUCAGGCACUCUGGUGUUGUCUUCCAGGAUUAAAAAAAAACAAAAAACAAAAAACAAAAAACAAAAAAAAAAAAAAAAAAAAAAAAAAAAAACAAAACAAAAAACCAAAACAACUUUGUCCGCAUGUCAGAGAACCUGAGACCCUUUCCACAGAUAUCCUAACUUCAGAGUUAUAUGUUGUUGUUUAGAAGCCCGCAAGGCAUUUGGAGAAGCCACAAAUGGACAAUUCCUCCCCCCCCCAACUGGUAAACAGGUUGAGAAUCCCUGUUUUAGCAUAUAUAAAGAUAUAUCUAUACUGAGCCCACAUGGAGCUCUUUGCUGCCACAGCAGGACUUGUUUUGGCAGCUCACAUUGUAUUAACACAGACAACCCCACAGCGUACUCCAGUCUGCAGUAUAGGCAAAAUCCUAAUGCAGAGUAGUCAUAAAAUGCACGUUGUAUUUGACUAAGUUGGAUAAAAAUGCCAGUAUCCACUUGAAAGAGUCCUGAAGUGUAAAAAGAGUAGUGUGUGUGACUUUAAACUCUCACGGUUACAAUUUGUGCAGGUCUUGGUUAAACAACUGAGUUUUACACCCUUGUAGAAAAGGUAAUUUAAUGUUUUCUUUUUCAGGCUCCUCCAUUGCCAUCCUCCUCAUCUUGACAUUUUUUCAUGGACAUUAAAUGAAAACUUUUCUGAUAUUCAGGAAGUGACCCAGUUCUGCACCACUGAUUUUUGUAGCUAUCCCGUAAGGCUGCUGGCUGAAAGCUGUGUCUAUGCAACCUUCCAAGUGCGGAGUGUCAACCAACUGGACAGGAGAGAGCACUGCCUCCUACUCCAGAACUCAAAACAAAUAAAGCUCAUCCAGCUGUACUUCAAAAAAUAAUUCCAUGUUUUGUAUAUAUCUGACAAAACUGGCAACAUUAUACAGACUACUGACUUGAAGACCACCUCUUUUGUAUUUCUCUGUUUCUGGGCUGAUGAGUUGGUUUCAUCCAUUUUUCCCCUUCAGAAUUUCCCUUGGAAAAAGUACUAGCUUAGCUGGUCAUUUCUUUGUAAGGUAGUUAGAAAUUUUAAGUCUUUCUUUGGGCAAUUUUUUUUUUUUUUUUUUUUUUAAUGUGAAGAGUUAGGUGAUAUAAAUUUUUUACUGCUUUUAUGUUUUUCUGUCUUGUUUUGAAACCAUGACGGUUACACUUUUGGUUCCUAAAUAAAAUUUAAAACAAUUAACAGCCAAGUCACAAAGAUAAAUGGGUUGCACAUAGACUAAGGAAUAAACUUCAGAUUUGUGAUUUUUGUUUCUAAUCUUGAUGUAAAUUUACACUAUUUAUAAAUACAUAUUUAUUGCUUGAAAAUAUUUGUGAAUGGAAUGCUGUUAUUUUUUCCAGAUUACCUGCCAUUGAAAUUUUAAGGAGUUCUGUAAUUUCAAACACUACUCCUAUUACAUUUUCUAUAUGUAAAUAAAACUGCUUAGCAUUGUACAGAAACUUUUAUUAAAAUUGUUUAAUGUUUAAAGUUUUUCUAUUGUUUGAGUUUUAAAAAGAUUUUAUGUACAGUGCCCAGUUUUUGUUCUUUUUUGAAUCUGAUUAUAUAUAUUUUAUAUAUACUCUUGUGCUUGUGUAUAUAUAUAAUAUAUAUAGAAACUCGAAUAUAAAUAUGUGUAUAAAGAUUUAGAGACUAAAUUUUUCUCGUUUUAAGUUUUACAUCUAUGGUAGAUUUGAGGUGUCUACUGUAAAGUAUUGCUUACAAAAGUAUGAUUAUUUUUAAAGAAAUAUAUGGUAUGUAUCCUCAAGACAUAGAAUGACCUUCAGACUGGUUUAUUGUUAAAUUGCACUUUUUGCAAUAACAGACCAAUAAAUAGUUGCUGCCAAAAUGUAGUAGUAGAAAAUAAGUAACGGCUAAACUUUAAAGCUCUUCAAGAAAAAUACCGGCUUUGACAGGAAGUUUGGCACUAGUUUUAGAGGAGGAAUGAAAAAGGUGAAUUUGAGUUUGGGUGGGGAUAUUCUCUAGAAUUCAACCAAAUUGCAACUUAUAUAUUACAAUAUGUUCUAUUAACAAUUUAAAAAGUUAAAGACCUAAUCAUCUUGGCGUCAUUGUUGACCCCAAAAAAGGUCGUUGUUUUGUGGUAUUCUAUUGUAUUUUCACAUAUUUUGUAAUACGAAUUCACUGGUAAAUUUUUGAAGCACUAGGUUUAUUUAGGACAAGUUUAUAAUAUAUCAUUGUAACAGUUUGCAGUUUUAAUGAUGGUAUUUAUUUUAAGUUGCUCCUUUCUCAUUAGCUUCUUGAAAAUGCAUUAAAUCUAAAUUUCAAAAUUGAUAGCUUUCUUAUCGAUCAGAUUGACUGAUGCAGAAGGUUCUGCAUCAAACAAUUUCUCAUAAUUUCUCAUUAGUGGGGUAUGUUAGUGAUUGCAUUGUUAAAUUUUUUGUAAUCGAUGUGAAGUGUUAAAGGCACAGAGCAUGCUGAUAGUUUCUUUGAACAAAAAGAAUCGCCUCUUACAUUGUAGUUUCAAACGAAGGGUGUUUUAAUGAAGAAUCAGUACAGCUUGUCUAAUGCUGUUACAACAGUUUAUCCGUAGUUAUAAAUGACUUUCUUGCUAGUUCUUACAACAGUUGGACAAAAGGGUAUCGAGAUUAAAGAAAAGCAAAACAAAUGCUCUUGCCAGCAAAAUUAUCAACUAGCAGUUAGGAAGCCAGUAUUUGCAGUUCUGUAAAGAUGUAAGUCUCAGCUCUUGAUAACAAACUCUACAAAAUCAUAAUUUUUUACUUAUGUAUUUUAUGCAGUCAUAAAUAUUGUAAUCUUGACAAACCAUGCUGCAACUGAAAAGCUACUCCUUUACAGUAGUCUUAAACCCAAAUAAAAGCAAGAUAACUUACCUCAACUAAUGGUAAACAAAAAGUCCUCGUUUCUCAGUGCUGUAAAAGAAUAAUUGCUAACUAGGGAAAGAGCUACUGUGUGCUAAUCAAAAGGGCUUUGUACCUUUUCUUCCCCUUUGGAAAAGAGGAUAUGCCAUUACCAAGGAAGAAAAUUCGUAUUUUACCAAUGAACAAGUAGAUCAAAUCAGUAGAGCAUCAGGCAGUGUCGCUCAUUCUGCAUGAAGGUUUUGUCAUGAAUUUGAAUUGCUGCAGGGUUUUAAUAUUUUGCAGUUUUCACACUUCUUAAUUACACUAUGCUCCUAACCGAUGGACAGUUUUGAUCUAUAAGCUGCUAUGAUUUAGAAUGCUUUUGUUUCAUUUUAUUAAAAAAGCACAAGUUAA